rnacentral:rRNA from 1 species
AGUUUGAUCCUGGCUCAGGACGAACGCUGGCGGCGCGUCUAAGACAUGCAAGUCGAGCGGACCGUAGCAAUACGGUUAGCGGCGAACGGGUGAGUAACACGUAGCUACCUGCCCUCCAGUAUGGGAUAACCGGGCGAAAGCCCAGCUAAUACCGAAUACGCUCUGUGGAGGAAAGCGGGGGACCGAAAGGCCUCGCGCUGGAGGAGGGGGCUGCGGCCUAUUAGCUAGUUGGCGGGGUAACGGCCCACCAAGGCGAUGAUGGGUAGCUGAUCUGAGAGGAUGAUCAGCCACACUGGGACUGAGAUACGGCCCAGACUCCUACGGGAGGCAGCAGUUAAGAAUCUUGCGCAAUGGGCGAAAGCCUGACGCAGCGACGCCGCGUGGAGGAUGACGGCCCUCGGGUUGUAAACUCCUUUUCCUAGGGACGAAAUCAGGGCCCCAAUACGGCCCCCAAUGACGGUACCUGGGGAAUAAGCCCCGGCCAAUUACGUGCCAGCAGCCGCGGUAAUACGUAAGGGGCAAGCGUUGUCCGGAAUCACUGGGCGUAAAGCGCGCGUAGGCGGUUUUGUAAGUCGGGUGUGAAAUCCUCGGGCUUAACCCGAGAACUGCGCCCGAAACUGCAUCACUGGAGGGACGGAGAGGUGCAUAGAAUUCCCGGUGUAGGGGUGAAAUCCAUAGAGAUCGGGAGGAAUACCAAUGGCGAAGGCAGUGCACUGGACGUCACCUGACGCUGAGGUGCGAAAGCGUGGGGAGCGAACGGGAUUAGAUACCCCGGUAGUCCACGCCGUAAACGAUGGGUACUAGGUUUGGGAGGCUUCGACCCCUUCCGAGCCGUCGCUAACGCAUUAAGUACCCCGCCUGGGGAGUACGACCGCAAGGUUAAAACUCAAAGGAAUUGACGGGGGCCCGCACAAGCGGUGGAGCGUGUGGUUUAAUUCGAUGCUACGCGAAGAACCUUACCUGGGCUUGACAUCCCUGGAACCCCUGUGAAAGCAGGGGGUGCGCCUUCGGGCGAGCCAGGAGACAGGUGCUGCAUGGCUGUCGUCAGCUCGUGUCGUGAGAUGUUGGAUUAAGUUCCGCAACGAGCGCAACCCUUGCCGCUAGUUACCAUCAUUUAGUUGGGGACUCUAGCGGGACUGCCAGCAAAAACUGGAGGAAGGUGGGGACGACGUCAAGUCAGCAUGGCCCUUACGCCCAGGGCUACACACGCGCUACAAUGGCCGAUACAACGCGUUGCGACCCUGCGAGGGGAAGCGGAUCGCUCAAAGUCGGCCCCAGUUCGGAUUGGAGGCUGCAACUCGCCUCCAUGAAGUCGGAAUCGCUAGUAACCGCCGAUCAGCUACGCGGCGGUGAAUACGUUCCCGGGCCUUGUACACACCGCCCGUCACACCACCCGAGUCAACUGCACCCAAAGUCGCUGGCCGAACCCCGCAAGGGGACGGAGGUGCCUAAGGUGUGGUUGGUGAGGAGGGUGAAGUCGUACAAGGUAGCCGUA